AUGGUUUAACUUGGAAAGCCUGUGCUUGCCAACACAAACUAGAUUGUUUUGCUUUGACUUAUUGAAACAUAGUCAAAUGUCGGCAUCUGAACUUGUUAGGGAAAUUGUUGUGAUAGGCAUAUCCAUAUACGAGUAUCGUGACUAAGUGGCCACAUUCAAGGAUCUAUUUAUACUCGAGGCGUGUAAAUUUGCGCUGCUACUGCAAGUCUAUAUCGUGAGAUAAAGGGUUCCACAACACACGUUUGUUUACAUUCUAUCGACACACGAACUAUUAUAAAUAACGAAUGAUCAAUGUAUUGCAAUGAUUACGUGUAGGAAAAUUCUGCUCCGUUGAAUAAUACGUAUGAUACAGUAAAGCGCUAUCCACCUCACUCUGCAAGCGUCUUUCUAUAUAUUACAUUUUCUGGUGACCUAUCAGGCUUCGUCGGUGAGGGAGCACCGUGACAUUGGAACAAAAUCUAAAAUUAUUUGACAUAAUGGUACAGCCUCAGACAUACGCGUCGUACAGAUUUUAACCACCGACCAAAACAAGCUUGUGGUCGCCAGUAGAUCAACAAAGGAUUGUUUUUUUUUUUAUGUUUUAACAGUGUGCAUCAUUCCUAGUGCUAUAUGUAGCCAAAUCUAUGACAAGGGACAGUCUCUGUGAAUACCCGUUGACGUUGCAUAUAUAUAUAUGACAUCGAGUUGUGCCAAACCACAAAUGCUUGCAUCGUCAAUCAUGGAGCUAUUGACACCGUGUGUGGUACCUGUAGAAAAGCUGUGUUUCAGUUCGAAAACCCAAGCAUUAAACAAACAGUGGAUAGUCGGCAGAAUCCUUCAAGCACGAACUAUCGUUACGGAUUCUCAAUGCCAAUAAUGUGGUUAGAAAGGCGGAGACCCUAAAUAUUUAAUGCUUAGAAAGGGUAGCAAAUACCUAGUUUUCGACUGGUUUGUGUACUACAGACGUGUCUUACUGUAUCGUCCAAGUUUGUCGAUCAGAUGCCUACCAGACCGUGUCAAGGAUGGUCGUUUUGAGACGUUACGCAGGGUACAGUUAUCAUAAGAAUACGGUGCCUAUCGAGCUUUACAAAUUUGGAUGGGUGCUACGAACUUGGGUUGAACUGUGGUAUGUGGCUGCCUCGGUGACCAAUAAGGCAAUACUGACGUCAUAGGCUGGCUUACUGCCAGGCCCAAGCCUAUACGCGGCGUAGGCAGUGUUGAACAUUCUACAAAGGUAGAGCCAAAUGUGAUAAGCGAAGUUGCAUUAUCAUAAAAACAGAUGAGGGAGGAGUCUACGUCUAUGGUACGGUAAGCAAACGUUGACAGCGUAAGAUCUUCGGAGUGUCGUUGUGUACUGCUUGCAAGCUAAAAGCAGAAGUAAGCGCGAGCUGGAGUCUAUUAUACAGCUUCAAGAUCAUGCUUUCGAAACGUGGGCUUCCAAAAGAAACAACAGCCCGUUUAGCGAAGGUUAACCCAUUAAGGCAAAGUUUUGUUGGGCGGUACUUAUGUACAAAGGAAACCGAUCCAGCAGUAUCAUGCGUGCCAUAAAGCAGUCUUUUUUUUUGGGAAAGAUACUUUUGGAAAAGAAAGUGUGUUCUGUCGCUAUUACCCGUUGAGAUUGGUUUAUUAAUGACCUUACUAUUUAUUAUUAGCCUGUCACCUAAUCGUGAAGCUUUUGGAGCCCAACACAGCACUACGGUAGUGUAGAAACAAGCCUGCACUGGCAUAUCCUUCAGCCAAAUAGAGGGAGAUCUGGCCCGCCACAACUUUUACUCCUUGAGCUUGAGACAUAUGGCACACGGAGCUCGUUGGCCUAAGAGCAUCUACGCCCCAAGUAUAGAUCUCCGGAACGUGAACCUUUCAAAUUAGUCUUGUAUUAUAUACAGCGAACAAACAUAGCAUCAUACAAGAACAACGUAUAUCCAGGGCGGGACGGCACAGAACACUGAUGGUGUCUAGGUGGUGGUAGACGAAGCACAUGGUAAUCAUCCAAUUGUAUUCUGGUUUGUUGAGAGACGUCGGUUAUGACGCAAAUGAUAUUUUGUCCCAUAUUUUGAUCGAUCUACUAACUAAUCGAUCGAACACGA
rnacentral:lncRNA from 11 species